GGAUCUCUGAGGCUGCCAAGAGGAGGAGGAAGUUGAUGAUUGCUAAGCGUCGGGAGUGUCUUCAACCCUGAGGCAGCAUCGGAGACCGUAAUCUUCUGCUCUCGUGGCAAGAAAUUUGCACGGAUAGAGUUGAUACACCUCGCUUGAGGUUGGCCUGGAGAAAGAGGCGUCGGACUCCGGGAAGGGGUUGGGAAACGGUCACCAGUUUCGGCUCAAAGCGGCGUGUUUCCAGGAGACCGCCAUGGUCGAGGCAGCGUCCCGGUCCCACGAGACGGGGAUCUUGCUGUGUUGCCCAAGCUGGUCUGGAACUCCUGGUGUCAAGCAAUCCUCCUACCACAGCCUCUCCAAGUGCUGGGAUUACAGGCAUGAGCCACCACACCCAGACGAUGUGAGAGAUACACUUGAUGUGAAUAUUGUAUUUUAUUGAAUGGCCUGCUUUUCAGACUCAUAUCUUGUCAUGACUUUUACAACUUCUGCUACUCCCUCUGUCCCUCAGGAACCUAGCUAACUUCUUUUUUUUUUUUUUGAGACGUAGUCUAGCUCUGCGACCCAGGCUGAACCUCACAGCCACCUCAACCUCCUGGAUUCAAGCGAUUCUUUUGCCUCAGCCUCCCAAGGAGCUGCGACUAUAGGCAUGAGCCACCGUGCCCGGUUAAUUUUUGUAUUUUUAGUAGAGAUGGGGUUUCACUAUGCUGACCAAGCUAGUCUCAAACUCCUGACCUCAAGUGAUCCGCCCGCCUCAGCCUCCCAAAGUACAGGAUUUAUAGGCGUAAGCCACCGUGCCUGACCUUGCUAACUUUUUUGUCUUUCAGUCUUUCCGGUUCUACGUUGAAAGUUACUUUGAGGAAACAUUUGAUCUUGCAGACUGGGCAACCUUGUGAAGCAAAAAAUGCCAACUAUGUGCCAGGCAAUAUGCUAGAUCCUAGGGAUACUGCAGUGAGCAAGCUUUUGAAACAUCUGCAAACAAGUUGUUCAUCUUAAUGCCAACUUCACAUGAAAGACAUUAACAUGCUUACCAGAGAAGGUGAGAGAAGAGACGUUGAGAGAGCUGCUUACCUGCUUCCUG